ACCGAGUGAACACAGGGAUGAACGCUCACCCAUUAGUUGAGGACUGAAACCCUUAGUACAAGUCCCUAAGUUAAAAAAAUAUGGCGCCAUCAUAGGAUAUGAGGGGUCACCCGCCAGUAAAAAGACUUACACCCUAGUCCUUUGGGACUUUAUUUUAGUGGAUCCAUGCCAGCCAGUGUUGGUACCCUUGGUAAGGUACUAGAAUCCUUCUAACUAGGUUAUAGGUUGGACCCCAAUUUGGUCAGACUAUGGUAUAUCAGUUAUUAUUUCC
rnacentral:lncRNA from 1 species